rnacentral:tRNA from 1 species
GAGGGUACAGCUCUGAGGUGAGCAUGUGCUUAGCAAGCAUGUUGUCCUGGGUUCAACCCCCAGUACCUCCG